UCUAGAGCUGGCAAAACUCCGUUUGAGCUUCUGAAUCAGGCCCAUCUGCACCCUGCCCAGUUCCCUGGUCAGAGUGCACCUCCAACCUCGCUCUGCAGAUGAGCGAAGCUGCUGUUGGGAUUACUGCCUGGAUGCCGCAGGAGCAGGGAGGGUGAGAUUAUACAAACCCCUCCGAGAAACACCUGAGUGUCCUGUGGCUUUAUCAGGGAACCAAAAUGACAAGUGUACGUCGGUGGAUGUCUCUGUGAAUAAUAACGAGGUUCUGGAACUCAGAGAGUGAUAUUCUCCCCCCUGUGCUGCUAUCAACCAUUUCGUCUCCUAGCUUUGCUUCCG